AGCCCUAAAAAACACUGCAUGAGUGAACGUGAGGAAUGACUUGAACUCUUUCCACCUGUGGUUUUAUUUUUGUUGGUGUUCUAAGAUUUGGCAGAGAUAUUCGUUAGUUUACAACCUGCAGUCUAACCCGUCAUUACGCGAAGCUUCUUACUCGUAUGAAGAUCAUGCGAGUUAACUACACAAAUGUAGGAAUAGCUAUUUCGCUCGCUGUUGCCUGCUUCAUCUUCUUCAAACUGUCCCAGCUGAGUCAGUCGCGAGCUGUCACGCAUCGAGACGUACAGGGGACGGAGGAAACAACAGUGCUUCAAUCAUUAGUCAAAGACACAACUGGAAGCCUACUUGACCUUAAACUACAGAAGGCUAAAGAAACUAUAGAACAUCUUAGAAGUGAGCUGCAAGAGGCCAAGAGUGUUCCAUUAAAGGAAAACAGAAUGGAUAAAAAAAGAUUUAAUGGCCACAGACUUGUUCAUUUGGAUCUCAAAGGGGCACCACCAAAAAUGGAAUAUCUGAUAAAGAUUCUUCCAGAGUUUAAGAAAUGGGGAGCAACUGGAUUACUGGUGGAAUAUGAGGAUGUGUUUCCCUACAAAGAAAAAUAUGAAGUCCUGCGUGCCAAGAAUUCCUACAGUGAAGCUGAAAUAAAACAAUUUCUGAGAGAAGUCACUGCAAAUGACCUGAUUUUGAUUCCACUUGUACAGACAUUUGGCCAUCUGGAGUUUGUUUUGAAACACAAGGAAUUUGCUCAUCUUCGUGAAACAGAACACUUCACCAAUUCACUUUGUCCAAAUAACAAAGAAUCCAUUCCCAUGGUGACAGGGCUCAUUGACCAGGUGUUGGCACUUCAUCCUGGUAUCAAAUGGUUUCAUAUCGGAGGCGAUGAGGUAUGGAACCUCAAGACAUGCUCAGUCUGUCUGAAGGAUGAACGUAAUAAAUCUCAGUUGUUUGUCCAUCACAUGACUCCCAUUUUAAAGUAUUUACAAAGCAAGAAGGUUACACCACUCAUGUGGGAUGAUAUGAUGAGACAUUGGCCUGUGGAGUACUUGAAAGAACUGGGACCUCUUGUGGAACCAAUGGUCUGGGCUUACAGAUCAGAUUUGACAGGCUAUUUUCCCUCUGACAUGUGGGAGAGAUACGGUGAAGCUUUCAACAAGAUUUGGGCGGCAAGUGCUUUUAAAGGUGCCACCUUUCCGUGGAGCAACUUUGUUCCCAUUGGCUUUCAUGUGCAGAACAAUCUCAACUGGCUGGACAUCAUUGCUAAGGUUCCAAGUACUCUGGAAUUCAAUGGUGUUGCUCUGACUGGGUGGAGCAGGUAUGACCACUAUGCUACUUUGUGCGAGCUUCUUCCGGCAGCCAUUCCUUCGUUAGCUUACUGCUUACACGCCUUGCGCACAGGUUAUUUGGAUCAGGAAGAAAUAAAAGCCACAGCUAAAGAACUUGGCUUGCCUGAAACGUUUGAUAUCAAUGUGAAGAGAUUUCCUCCCACGUAUCAACCGCCCGACGGAACGUUUCUAGGACAUGAAAUUUUCAGUCUCGUAGGUCACCUGGAGAAGGCGGUUUAUGAUACAAGGGGUGUCAAAAAUAUACAGCAAGGUUGGCUGUUGGAGCGGGAAGUGGAAAACAAGUUUUUAAGUUAUUAUCAAGUGGAAAGCGCAUACAACAAGACUGUGCAUGGGUUACAGAUUCUAACAUCGUUAAAGUCGGAGGCAAAUAAAGCCUUCAGUCUCGUCUACGACGAAAGUGUGGUCAAGGAAUGGGUCAAGGACAAAUUACAAGACGGCAUUGAUCAUUUAAGCAGCGAGAAACCCCGGCUAGAAGGGCUUAAAAAAAUUGCUGCAGGAAAGGAAGGGAAAGAGGUGUAGCGUUAUAUCGAGUUAAAAUUAAAGAUAAACUGAUGGUCAGGUAUAAGCAGUGAGGAGUUAUCAUAGAAUCAUGUUUGCAGCCACUAAAAUAAUUUAUUGAUUAGCACUUUGUAAUGCUUUCAAAUUUGCCUACAAGGUGGUUUCAACCUUUAAAGCUAUGGAAGAAGUUUUAGCCCGUGACAGUGAAAUGAAAGUUACUGAGCAGUACUUUUCAUGUGGUACUGUUUAUUAUGCUGUACAAAGUGAUUUAAACUUUUAAGUCUGUGGAUAAAACCCUAGAGUGUGUGACCAGUCAAAAGAAAGCUAAUGAGCAGCACUUUAAUGUGGUACUGUUUAUUAUGCUGUACAAGGUGGUUUUAGCUUUGUCUCCGGGUGAAACCCUAGCGUGUAACCAUUUAGAUCAAAGCUAGUGAGCAGGGCUCACAGGUGGUUGUGUUUGUCAUGCUAUACAAUGUAGUUUUAACUUUUAAUUCCUUGUGUGAAAUGAUAUCCUUGCACCAUUCAAAUGAUCUGUGAACGAAUCCUUUGUUUUGUUUGUUUUCCUUUGACUGCUAAAACGUUUUAGCAUUUAGUUUUUGGUGGAGAUGAAAGAUGUAAAAUCUAAGUAGGCAUAUGCUCAGCAUAGAACCUAAUAGUGUUUUAGUUUUUAACGCAAACAAAGGAACAAGAUAGUCAUUCAGUUCAUAAGUAUUAACUUAUUUUAAUUUGAAACUCCGAUCAAACGAACAAGCUCUGUGCCAGUAAGUUGACUCACAAUGUCGAAAAUCAAUACUGAGCUUAAACUUACUAAAACCAAGCCAAAGGUUCUUGGCGUGUCAGUGCUCAUGUUUUCGUUUUCCAAGUCAUUGAAGUCGUUGAUCACAAAGGCCCCGUCCACACUAGGCCGGAGGAAUUUGAAAACGCAACUUUGUUUCUACGGUUAGGCCUA
rnacentral:misc_RNA from 1 species